rnacentral:lncRNA from 1 species
UUGGAGAUAUAUUUUGAAUCUUAAAUUUAUUUUUAUAGCUGGAUUCAAAUCCCAUAUGUCUUUCAUUUACUGUACAACGCUGGUAUCCAGUGGCCAAUAUGACUCGUUUUAUAUCAGCUAAAGUUUAUGACUAUUAUGCUCCAGAGCGAUUUAAUGAAACUAUGAUGGAUGUGUACAGCUUAUUUGUACUUAACAUAUGCCAAGUCUGUGGUUCUUACCAAUGUCCCUACUGUUCCAUCUUUAGUAGCACAUCAACAUUUACUUGUAAUAUUUUCUUAACUAUUUUAUGCCUUAUAGUUUUAUAUUAUCGUUUCAGAUAAGUAAUUGGAGUAAAUUGGAAAAUUAUUUUACAUUUUACUAAUCAAAUUGUCCAAUAAAUAAAUAAAUCAAAUGGACCAAGAUGAAAGGUUGUGCAUGAACAAAUAAUAUGACAUUUUAAAUUGUGCAAAUAAGAACAUUUUUUAAUAACAAAAUCAUAUAUCAUCCUUUACUCAGGUAAAAGAUACAUGCAAUAAAAAUAAUCUGCCAUUUUUAAUUUUAUGCUUAACCAAGUUAUAUAUAAUUUCAGAAUAUCAUUGUAAUAUAAUCAUGGUGUAUCUCAUUCCAUUUUUUUUUUCAUUUUUUUGCAUAAUAGUGUACUUGUAAUAAUAUAUUAAUUAUAGUUUUAUACAAAACGUUUUGAAACAAAAUGUAUUUUUUAUAUUAUUUCUUUAAGCACUUAGUUACAGAACAAUUUUUGUCAUAUGAAGUCAUAUUUGGGAAAUGUGCCACUAGUUGUGAUAAUACAUUCAUAUAAUUGUGCAUUCUUUAAAUAGUUUUUGUAAUAUUUUUUUUACAUUUAUGAAAAAUAUUUUGUAUUUAAUACUUUGUUUACUGUGUGAUUAAUUAAAUAUUUUAAAAUAAUUUUUCAAAAUAUAAAUCAAAACAUUUUAAAAAUUUCUCUGAUCAUUUUAAUAACUAAACAAUUUACUCAAAAACUGGAAAAUAUAUUUCUAGAAGGCAGCAGACAAUUGUAAGAAAUUCUAGCAAGCAUUUAACGAAAAUUGACACACGUUUUUGGCUUCAUUAAUAGGCCUGCUUUGGGUCAUAAAUCUUAAACUUCUGAAGCAGACCUAUUAAGAGGCUAAAAAAUUCUUCAAUUUUUAUUAAACACUUGCUGGAAUUUAUUACGGCUGCCUUCAUAUCUUCUAGAGCAUUUUAAUAAAAUCUACUUUAGUAAAUAUUAACUGCAAAAAAAAAUUAAGGUAGCAAUUUAAAUUGUUAUCUGAUAUAUAAAAUUAUUUAUAUUUUGUAAAUAUUAGUUUUACAUUCAGGAAAUUGACAAUAUAGUUUUUAUUACUUUUUUAUUUCUUGUAUUGAAUUUUUACAUUAAAUAAAAUAUAUUAUUUGUUAUGCAAAAAAUAUAAUUGCAUAAGUUUAUUUUGCAAAUGCACGGGAUUAAUUUUAGAUUAGCUAAGUAUCAAAAUAUAUAUGUGAAACAUUUAUUUAUAGUUUACAAAUUGAAGUAAACAAAGUAUUAACAAUAAAGUCAAAUGACUAUAUUUGUAAUUUAUAUAAUUAAAAAAUAUAUAUAUUUAAUAGAAUAAUCAAUUUAAACAAAAUGAAAGAAUUUAGAUGAAAGUAUUAAAUACUUUUGUCAAUGGUGAAAUGCUAAAAAUUGUCUCUGAGAGACUAUUAUUUAAAAAAAUUUUUUUUAAAUGCAAUUAAAUAUUUUAUCAAAAUUAUUGUCAGAAUGACAAUUGAAAAUAAAUAGCUGCAAUAUAUUUAUGGGAACAAUUUAAUUUCAAAUAUUUUUCAAUUUAUUGUAUAGAUUGUGGUACAAGUUUUAUUNAA